rnacentral:lncRNA from 1 species
AAUCAGAGGAAGAACAGCCUGCUCUGAGGUUGAACUUUGCAAAGCUGGGAAUGUUCCUUCUUUGAAGGAGAUCUUAGUUUAGGCAUUCAUUUUUAUUUUAUUUUUUAUAGAGUUAAUGAACCAGUCUUACAGUCUUCCUUUAGCCAAUGAGUUAAAGAAAUCUUUGCAUAAGUUUAUUCAAAUCAGAGGUUCCACCAAGAUAUCCCUGUAAAUGCACCUUCCAGAGCCAAUCUGUGUGUAGGCAUGGAAGCAAACAUCCUCUCUUGGCUUCUGCAGCAAAUUCCAAGUGGCAAUGGAACUUUACCUUCGCUGACUCUUUUGUUUCUUUUUUCCCGUGGAUUCUGUGCUUUUGUUUUUGUUUCUGGUUUUGGUUUUUAUAUAACUCAGAAGUUAUUUCCUAAUGUGCCAGAAAUGUUUGUGAAUUUGGUUUUAUAGCCUAUUUGAUCAUCCUUUUUAGGUGGAGACCUAUUCUGUUGGGUUAGAGAUGACAGAAAAUCUUAUUUGUCGGUUGGUUUGUUUGUUCAAGAAUACACUGACCUUCUACAAGAAAGGAGAGCUCUUUGACACCUGGAAAUUUUACAGAAGCUUGGGACAGCUCUGAAUGGCAACACGGUCCUGAGAUAUGUGAUUACCUGGGACUUUCAUUGGACCUGCAUUUCAGCUCUACUCUCCUCACUGCCCUAUGCUGCUUUGACCCUAAAAGUGAAGCCAGCUUGGCCAGGUGCAGUGACUCACACCUGUAAUCCCAGCACUUUGGGAGGCCGAGGUGGGCAAAUCAAGAAGUCAGGAAAUCGAGACCACCCUGGCCAACAUUGUGAAACACCAUCUCUACUAAAACACAAAAAAAUUAGCCAGGUGUGGUGGCACGCACCUGUAGUCCCAGCUACUCGGGAGGCUGAGGCAGGGGAAUCACUUGAACCCGUGAGGAGGAAAUUGCAGCGAGCCAAGAUCGCGCCACUGCACCCCAGCCUGGGCGACAGAGAGAGACUCCAUCUCAAAAACAAAACAAAACAAAACAAAAAAAACAAAAAGUGAAGCCAACUCAAUUGUCUCAUAGAACUGAUCUUUACGGUGUUUUUAAAUAAACAUAGAAAUUGGCCCUCCCAGUCUUAAAACUUCAAAAACUUACAUUUGUCUUACCUCAGUUCCUUUCUCAGGAAUCCAAUCAUCAAGGCUCCCAGAUAGUAUCAAUGAACGGAAACUUACCAGAUCACGAUAUCUGGACAAUGAGAUGUCAGAUCCCCCUCAUCCAUCCUGAUUACCUAACUGACUACCUGCUUCCUGUUGGCCAACUACUCUUCCUUACCCCUCCCUAAUUCUUGUUUUCCCACAAAUGGUUACAUUUCUGUCCUGCUAUAGAAGCCCUUAAUUUUAAUUGGUCGAGGAGAUGGAUUUGAGACUGAUUUUUUGCUCUCCUUGGCUGUUGCACCUGAAUAGCCUUUUUCCCUGGCAAUACUUUUUGUCUCAGUGAUUGGCUUUCUGUGCAGUGAGCAAUGGGACCAAACUUCUGGUGUUUUGGUAACAAAUUUUGGUUUCCUGACUGUGAAUGCAUUGCUUGUGACUCAGCUGCCAUGAGCUGGGAGAGUUUCAAAAGCCCUCUAAGCAGCUACCUGACCAUUUUGGCCAGAGGUGGAUUUUCGUCUCUCCCCAUUUGGGCCCACUUCUGCCAACCCCAACCAUGUUCCUGAUUGCCUAGGAAGAACAGCCUUUGAAAUUUGACGUCUAUGUACAGAAAGGUGAGUGUCUUUUAUGGGUACUAGACAGUGGGAAUGGUUCCUCUCCAUUUGGGAAAUCCCAAAGGCAUAUCAGUUUGCAGGUUAAACAAGCCAAACUGAUGGAGAGAGGAUAAUACCUUGACUGAUUCAGUUUGAACACUCUUGGGGCUUGUUCAUUGCUACAGAAGUUGGAUUGUGUUUUGGUGAUUGUUUGCUUGUGUAUGUCUAUGUAGUUAUGGGAUGUCAGGGUUUGAUCCCAGAGUGCAGCCCACAUGGGUGCAUUCUUUGGGUUAGUCUGUAUGUAGUUGUGGGUUGACAGAGCAGGGGAAAUUCUACAGCCAUACCACUCUGAGUGUGGCUGAUCUUGUCUGAUCGCGAUGUCUUUGCAUUGUAGUGCUGUCUUACAAUUGAAUUCAUUUUGCUGUUGAAUGGGAAAGCAGGAUGGAGGUCCAUAGACGGGGUUUUACCAUGCUGCUGCACACUGGUCUUGAACUCCUGGGCUCUAGUGAUCCACCUGCUCAGCUUCCCAAAGUAAUGGGAAUACAGGAAACAAAGACAAGUGAAGCAGCAAACUUGCCGAACAAUCUCUGCCACACCAUAUGCACUUCAAAAGACCAACCACAGUGAUUAAAGGGAUGAAAAAGAUGACCUGCUUGAAAACUCUAAAGAACCCAGUAUUAUUUGAAAGAAGAGGAAGCUGAAUGGUAACUUAAUAACUAUCUUCAGAUUUCAACAGGACUACUACUUCUGUUUUAUCCAUUUCUAUAGAGUUUGAAACUACUAAGGAAUUAUUCUGAAAUCUUUCUGUAACUAGCAUAUUUGACUCAUUUUAUACUAAUUAUUAUAACUUUUUUCCAUUUAAAAAGUCUGAACUUGUAUUUGGCAUUCUUCCAUUUGAAAGAAUAAGUAUUAGGAAGAGAUAAUCAAAUAGUAUUACUCUCUUUUUCUUCUUCUUAUAUAUGAAAAGAUGGUAUUGUUUUUCUUGGCAUAAACAACCUUUGACUUGUUCUUGCCAUUUAUCAGACUCAAAAAUCUGUGGAUUGAAGUCUUCUGUUACUUAGCUCCAGCUAUGCUGUGAGUUAUUAUUGCCAAGCCUUAAUAAUAUUGACAAAAAAGGGGGAAAUAAACAUGUUAGAAGUUAAAUUGCAUUCCUUGUUACUUUAUAAACUGAAAUAACAAGACUUGGAGUCAUUAUCUUGUAGAUUUCUGGAUAAAAUUAAUAUGUAGGGCCUUUAACUUGUUUUGAAUCUCUUAAUGAACAUUUUCUAUGUGAGAAGUAUUGUUUAGUGCUAGGUUUUUGGGUAAAAGAGAAAAAAAGAGAAAGAGUAAGACAGGAUAUCAGAGCUCAAGAUGCUUCUAAUCUGGUGGUAAAGAUAAUUUAAUGAAUUAGAGGUCGGUAAGCAACACCUAAUCAUAUACAUGUGUAGUACCUCAAGGGAAACACAAAUCCUGCUUGGGCAAGAACACUGAGAUAGAUGUCUAAACAGGAUUUCUUGUUUUUAACUCUCAAGUUUCACAAUAACAUAGCUCAGUUCGUUUUAGUGCCCCCGUCUACUCUCAAACUCCAUCCCCGACAUAUUUUCAUCAGACUAUUCUUUCUUUCUCUUUGUUGAGUUGGUUUUUGCUUUGUUGUUCUUAUAUCUGAGUUUCUCCUUACUUAUAAAUUUUUUUUACAACUUUUCACCUGCCAAAGCCUCAAUUUUAUCUCGUUUCUGCUAAUUGCAUUCUUUUAUUUCCUGCUUUUAUGAGCCACUCUCCUAUAAAAUUUCUCAAUUUAAAUUCCAGAGAAGGAACUUCUGAUUAUCCCCACUUAGCUUCAUACCGUAUUAUGUCAUAGGUCCCAAGCCAAUGCUUGGGUCAGAAGCCAAUAUGCAUUCAAUUUAGACUUACUCAUUAUGGCUUCUCCUGCAACAGGAACUGUGGUCCUGGCAGUUUCCUCUGGAAUGAGAUAAGGCAUAGCAAGUAUCGUAAUGUGCUGUUAAAUUUUGAAGAAAGUAUGGAAUUUGAAAAAUUGAAAAGAAAAAGAUAAGGAUUGAAGGAACAUUUGGAGACAACCCAGAUAUGCUGAUGAACACAGUGAGGAUAGGGCUUGGAGAGAUCUACUUUAUCUAGGGAGAAAGCAUGCUCAGUAGUGGAAACACUUCUGGUUAGGCAGGGUGAGAACAGGAACUAGCAGCUCUCUAAAGCAAGCCAAGACUUUAGACUGAUUGUUCUUGAGUCCAUAACUUAACAAACAAUAGUUAAGGGAAUUUAGUUGUCCUAUGUGCCUAUUAAAUAACUGGAUAGGGGUUUUAAAAUCAUUUUUUAAAAAAGCAAUUAAAAAUACCUUUCAUUUUGAUUAGUAAGGGAAUUUUUUAAAGAGAAACUCAGGACAUAUUUGACUGUAGGAAGAGAUUAUACUCCUUUCACUUAGAAAAAUACAUAACACUGGAGGAGCUAGAUGUGAUAAACCAGGAAAUAGAAAAAGUGCCAUUGUAAGUAUAGACAGAUAUCGGGGGAAAUUCAGCCAGAUAUUGGGCAAAAUUCACCCCCGAUAUUUCAUGUAGGUUCUUUUCUAUUUUCCCUAAGCAUCAGCCGGUUUGAGAAAUAAAGGGACAGAGUAUAACAGAGAGAAAUUUUAAAGCCAGGUGUCUGGGGGAGACAUCACAUGUUAGUAGGUUCCGUGAUGCCCCACAAGCUGUAAAACCAGCAAGUUUUCAUUAGGGAUUUUCAAAAGAGGAGAGAGUGUACGAAUAGGGUGUGGGUCACAGAGAUCACGUACUUCACAAGGUAAUAGAAUAUCACAAGGCAAAUGGAGGCAGGGCGAGAUCACAGGACCACAGGACCGGGGCGAAAUUAAAAUUGCUAAGGAACUUUCAGGCACCAUUGUCAUUGAUAACAUCUGUCAGGAGACAGGGUUUGAGAGCAACCGGUCUGACCAAAACUUAUUAGGCGGGAAUUUCCUCGUCCUAAUAAGCCUGGGAGCGCUAUGGGAGACUGGGGCUUAUUUCAUCCCUACAGCUCGACCAUAGAAGAUGGCCACACCCAAGGGGGCCAUUUUAGAGGCCCACCCUCAGGGGCGCAUUCUCUUUCUCAGGGAUGUUCCUUGCUGAUAAAAAGAAUUCAGUAAUAUUUCUCCCAUUUGUUUCUGAAAGGAGAAAUAUGGCUUUGUUCCACCCGGCUCACUGGCGGUCAGAAUUUAAGGUUAUCUCUCUUAUUCCCUGAACAUUGCUGUUAUCCUGUUCUUUUUUCAAGGUGCCCAGAUUUCAUAUUGUCCAAACACACAUGCUCUACAAUUUGUGCAGUUAACGCAAUUAUCACAGGGUCCUGAGGCGACAUAUAUCCUCCUCAGCUGACAGGAUUAAGAGAUUAAAGUAAAGACAGCCAUAGGAAAUCAUAAGGGUAUUGAUUGGGGAAGUGAUAAGUGUCCAUGAAAUCUUCACAAUUUAUGUUUAGAGAUUGCAGUAAAGACAGACAUAAGAAAUUAUAAAAGUAUUAAUUUGGGGAACUAAUAAAUGUCCAUGAAAUCUUCACAAUCCAUGUUCUUCUGCCAUGGCUUCAGCUGGUCCCUCCAUUCGGGGUCCCUGACUUCCCGCAACAGACAGAGAUAUUUAUAUUUCAGCCUGACCCUAAUCCUAACCCAAAUUCUAAUUCUAAAAGAGAUCACAUUUAAAAUAUAUCUUUAUUUUGGAAGAAUUGCAAAGCUAAACUUUUCUAAAAUCCUAGUCUUUAGCGAGACAAUGUUAUUUUGAGUUAAGUCAAAAAUUUUGCACACACACAUGCACACAUGCAUGCUGUGGCUGUCUUGUGGCUUUUCCUUGAAAUGGGUAUGUGAUUAUAUUAUUUUCCCCCUCCCUUUAGAAAGACAUAACACAUGUCAUUGGUCAUUAUUUUGCCACAUGGUGACCCUAGUUUAAAGUUUUGUUCUAUGUUCAUGUUAAAGGAGAAAAAAUGAUAAAUGACAAUGUAAUCAAGAAAUUGAAUAUAAACUUGCCGAUUCGUCUAAUUACAGAGUUUAGUGCUGUGGGUUCCAAUUUGUCUCUUCCUAGACAGUUGCUUUGUAUCCAUGAAUGAAUGAAUUCGUAGUAUUGAAAACCUGCUCCCAGUGCUAUGUAAUUUAUCAAAUAAUAUGUGUGAGUAUAAGAUAUAACUGCUGCCCACAAAAACUCAUAAUUUAUUUGAGGACACAAAACUCAUAUACAUAAAAUAAUUCAUGAAUGAGACAUAUUCACAUGUUAUAUGCAGGCAGGUCCUGCUUUUACUGUGCUUGUGGAAAUCCAAUUUUAAAAUAUAUUAUUUUAAGAUAAAUUCUCACCUGGGAGUAUGUUGUAUUCUAACACUAUUAUCUUUGUCUUUUGGGGCAUAUUUGGCUUACAUACAAGUCAAAGAAUACUAGUUUAAAAAGUUGUUAAAUUCAAAUUUACCCAACAUAUAUUAUCUAUUAUAUGUUAUGCAUUCUUUUUUAUAUGUUAUCACAAACUACAAUUUCAGCACUGUCCAUGUUCUUCGUUUUUUAGAUAAGAAAUGGCUCGGAAAAGUUAGGUAAUAUGGCCAAAUUUACACAUCUACUAAGUGUCAAUGCUGAGAUGUGAAAGUCAGUUUUUCUCAGUCAAACUUUAAGAGUCUCCUUACUGUCUAUGUGAAUGUUUGUGUCCCCUCAAAAUUUGUAUGUUGAGACACAAUCCCCAAUGCAAUGAUGUUAAGAGGUGAGGUUAGGAGGUGAUUAGAUCAGGAGGGUGGAGCUCUCAUGAGUGGGAUUAUUGCUGUUAUAAAAGAGGCCUGAGGGAGCUUGUUCACCCCUUCUUCCAUCUGAGGACACAUAGAAGGUGCCAUACAUGAGGAACAGGCCCUCACCAGAGACUGAAUCUGAUGGGGCCUUGAUCUUGGACUUCCCAGCUUCCAGAAGUGCGGGCAAUAAAUUUCUGUUUAUAGAUUAUCCAGUCUUAGGAAUUUUGUUGUGUCAGCCCAAACAAACUAAGAUAAAAAUCCUUUAACCUUCAUCCAAUGAUUGUGUGGUAAGUUAUUGAGGAUUGAUUAAAGCUCUUUACUAGGCAUUGCCAAUGCUUAAAGCUCUAAAAUACAAAACAGAGAGACAUGGAUACUACUUAUGCAGAGAUCAUAAAUUCUAUUGUUUAUAUGAUUAGACUCUACGACUGUUCUACUUAAAUGCUAAUUGAGGAAUGCAACACCAGGUAAGGAAAAGGUCUGAGAGGGUUUGGUUAGUAUGGGUUAGCAUCAGGAGGAAGAUUUCAUGGGGGAAUUUGACUAAUUUCUUAAAAGUUUAAUAAUAGCAACCAUAUAAAUAAAUAUCUUUGCUUUUACUUCUUUCUUUCUCCCCUCCCUCUCCUUUUCUUCCUUUCUGUCUUCUAUUUGCUGCAUAACUACUAUAUGUCAUAGAAUAUUUGAUGACAUUUUCAAGUGUAAAUAGCUUUCAUCUAUAUUAUCUCAUGUUAUCCUUGUAACAAUCUUUUAGGUUAAAUACAGAAGUAUUAGCUUCUCUUGCUGAUGAGAAAAUCUGUAAACAUUGUUUUCCAAGUUUUUGCCCUACAUACAAAUAUAGGACCUCAACCCCAUAUAACAUAAGUUCCGUCAAGAGUUGCUAAAGUCCCUAAGCAGUAUCUUGUAUGUGUUUAUAAACCAGUCUGGAGCUAGCUGAUUUUCCAGGUUCUAGCAGGGUUUCUUCUGACCAGUACUUCGUUUGCCAUGUCACAUUUACUGGGUACUACCACUCAAGAAUGCCUUUGCUGUCACUUCCACUGGUCUCAUACCACUAGCACACUAUGCCUUCAGUUUUUAGUCACAUGCCAAUUUCUUUUAUUUUUAAUUUUAUUUAUUUAUUUAUUUAUUGUUUACUUUAAGUUUGGGGAUACAUGUGCUAAAUGUCAAGUUUGUUACAUAGGUAUACAUGUGCCAUGGUGGUUUGCUGCACCUAUCAACCUGUCAUCUAAGUUGUCACAUGCCAAUUUCAAGAUUUAAGAUAGGAGUUCACCAGGAGCUUAGGUAAGAAAAAACACUAGUACUUGGCUUUGCCUCCUUUAUUCUUAAGACUUCGUUAUUCAGUCAAACUCCUGCUAGACUUCCUUUCCCUAGGAAUGGUUUUUCCUGCUUGCCUUUUGCAAGCAGGUUCUUUGCUUUUUCUGAAUCCUAGUGGUGGUAGAUCAAGGUGGAACCUAUGAGUAAGAGGUAGGUCAAGAACUAAACUUUUUGAAUUCCAGAACCAAAAAUACUGAAUGAAAAAAAAUUAAUUAAGAGUUCUUUUUCAUUCUAAAAUAGGUUUUUUACAAGGCUAAACAGUGGGAACAAUUUUGAGAAAGGCACAGAGAUGUACAAAAGCUUAAUUUAUAAGAAACACUAGAGUUCCCAUAUGCUGUGAAAGGUUGCUGCUGAGUAAGGAAAUGUGUAGAUGUUUGAAUGCCAGACAAAGAAAUUUCCAAAUCUCCUUUCAAUUUCCUUUUAAUAGCCCAUUAAACUUUUCAUGCCAUGUUUUCAUGCCAUGGUUUGUUUGUUUAUUUAUUGAGAGUCUCACUCUGUCGGCCAGGCUGGAGGGCAGUGGCACUAUCUUGGCUCACUGCAACCUCUGUCUCCCGGGCUCAAGUAAUUCUCCUGCCUCAGCCUCCCAAGUAGCUGGAUUACAGGCAUGGGCCACCAUGCCUAAUUUUUGCAUUUUUAGUAGAGACGGGGUUUCACCAUGUUGGCCAGGCUGGUCUCGAACUCUUGACCUCAGGUAAUCCGCCCGCUUUGGCCUCCCAAAGUAUUGGGAUUACAGGUGUAAGCCACUGCGCCUCGCUGCCAUGGUUUAUUUGUAGACCCUUAUGAUAUACAGCUUAUAAUUUCUACUUAUUUCCCAUGAUUUCAAUCACUUCAUGCUUAUAAAUACAAAGAGUUUUCUGUAUUAAAUUUUUAAGAUGAAUUUCAUUGAUUAAUAUUAUUUAGGACAUAGAAAAAAACACAACUUAAAUUCAGUGUUUAUAAUAAAACAAGUUGGUUUAUGCAUAAUGUAUUCCUAUCUUCUAGCAAGCAUCUGCUGCACUAGGAACCCCAACACUGGCUUUUUCUGCAAAGAAAAAAAGUAACAAAAAGAAAAUAUUUACAGCUAUUUUCAGAUCCAAAUUCAAAAUUUUAGCUUGGACUAGGACUCAGUGGGACUUCAUUAGAAUUGCUGUAGAGAAUUGGAAAACUGAAAAGAGUUUCUGCAUUCCCUGUGCAGCAGCAGGUCUGCAGAAUUCAGAAUAAUCCCCCUGGGAGGCAUUAAGCAACAAGUCAUGAUUUCUCACUUUCCUGUUUCAUUUGUUUGAGAGGGUAGUUUUCCUUUUGUGAGAGAGGGUAAAAAUGAAGUUAUUAGUUUUGGUUUUUGCUCUCCUGCAGUAUCAUGUCAAGCUUACUUACGUCUGAAGUUUUCAGCUGUUCCUCUAUCUGGUGGAUUAAAAAAUGUGCCCUUUAUAAAUACGAUUAGUAUGGAGAAUUGAUACAUUAACAGUUAGCUUUAUAAAUUGACAGAUUUCUAAAUUAACCUAUGGUCCACAAAUCAAGUUCUAUCACUAUUUCCUGCCACCAAAAUCAGUGAUGAAGCCUCUUCCACACUAAAUGAAGAGUGGCGAGGGACAGAAUUCCACUUGUCUUCCUUUUGCUGCACUAACUACACCAGGCAAAGCCUUCUUAAAACCCUGAUUUUUCUAGAUACAUGUUUCUUAGAUAAGUUACAUGUUUCUUAGAUAAUCUGUAAUAUAUUUGACUACUAAUGUAGUAGUUUUUAAAAAUAUUGGUAGAACAACCUGAUAUUACUUUAAAAAUAAAACAGAAAAUAGUAGUGGCUAAUGAUUCCUUUUUUUUUCUUUCCAACAUUUUUAUGAUUCCAAAAAUUUUCUGUUGUUUUUAUAGGAUCAAAGAUUUUUUUAGGUAAAAGUAGAAGAUUUUUUGUGGUGUGAGAUUUGAGGAGCAUGCACCAGGUUCAUCUUCUCAAGAACAGUGUCUUGCCCAUCCCUGAGAACUGACACUCCCCACUUAGAGAUGCAUUUCCUUUGUGAAUUAAGGAGGGCAUGCUGAAGAACUGGAAGUAGCAACUUUAUUCCCUCAAAGAGGGAAGAGGCUCUCCAGGGUGUCUCAAUACCUUUAUAUUAUUAGGUUUCACUUAAUACCUUUAUAUUAUUAGGUAUCCACAGGUUAUCCUGGCCUUCAUUGUGCAGCAUUGCAUGAGACACUUUAGUUUCCAUGCUUAGCUGUUAGCUGCUUCAGGCAGGGAACGAGGAUGCUGUUGAUGAAAGAUGAAAGAUAUAAGGAAGGGAAAUUAAAUGGCCCCUAAAUUACAAGAAGGGUGAUAAUAUUACAGGCUAAGGUUAAGACUGUGUACCAAGACAUUUAACGCAGUAGGUUAAGAAGGCAGAGUAAUAAAGAGACAACCUUGGCAAGUGCCACCACAAACCCAGGAAGCCAGGACUCCUGCAGUGGGUCUCCAUGUGGUGAAGAGUCCCACUCUUCUGUCUUCUGACUGUGCUCCUCUUCUAGGUAGGAGGAUUUUCUGGGUCUAAGGGGAUGUUUCCACCCAGAACCCUCCUUCUAAACUAUGCCCCAGCAAUCCCAGAAACCAUCACUUCAUGUCCAGUGCCUACAUGAACCUCUUCCCCAUAUCCAUCCUUCCAGUUAUACCCAUGCAUGUUCCUCUAGAUCCAAGCAGGAUUUCCAUUUGUACUCUUGCCCAGGCCUGGAAAAUGUUAGGACAGCCUGACCAUGCUUGUUCGUAAUACACAUUAAUCUGGAACUGGUCCUGUGUAAGUCUGGAGGUUACCAGAGAAUGAAGGAGAAUGAAGUCUAAUUAGUUCUUUGCUUAUGUUCUUAGGGCUUAGGCUGUUUAGGCCUGGAUUUGCUCAAGAAAAUUCACACACAUAAAGAUCAAUGAUGUGUAUAUGGAGAUCUGAAAAGCUGAGUUUUACAACUUUGGAAUCAGGUUGUCUUGUUACAUGGGUUUUAGGGGAGAAAAGUGGAAGGAGAACCAUCCCUGCACAUCAGAGCGCCAGUAAUGAAUAAAUUAUUAGUUAAAAGAGAUAGCAGGGUUGAGAAGAGAUUUGACAUGGAAGGGCUAUAUUGGACAUGCUUAUAGUCAGAGAGAAGUGGUGAGUGACAAGGGAAGGGAAAAUUUGCUUUAGUAUAUACUGACAUUAUUAAAACAAGUACUUUGAGUUUAUUGAAUAAUGAACGUUCCUCUUUAUAUAGCAAAUAAUUUAUCAUUACUUUUUUUGGUAGCGUGUAGAGUUUUCCUAUAAUGUUUUACUAUCCAUAUACUAUUAUAUAUUCUAUAUAAUAAAGUUCAAUUUACAGACUCCUCAGUGUAGGACUACUAAUACUAAUCCAUCUAGUGUUGAUGACUCAUUGUUUUGAUGAAGGCACCUGUACAUCUGGAGAAUAUUAUGGAUGGAAUUUUGUCUACCAAAAUUCAUAUAUUCGAGGGCUAACCCCUAAUGUAUUGGUAUUUGAAGGUAACUACCUUUGUGAGGUAGUUAGGUUUAGAUAAGCUCAUGAGGGUGGGAGCCUCAUGAUGACAUUAUUACCCUUAGAAGAAGGAAGCUUGGUCUCUCCCUCACUCUCUCUGCCAUGUGUGAACACAGAAGGAAGGCGACUAUCUGCAAGUUAGGAAGAGGGACCUCACAAGAAACUGACCAGGCUGGCACCCUCAUCUUUGACUUCCAGCCUCCAGAACCAUGAGAAUAUAAACGUCUGUUGUUUAAGCCACCAAGUCCAUGGUCUUUUGUUAUAGCAGACUAAGACAAAUAUACAGACAUAGAGUUGAUAAUUUGGGGCAUAAGAAUGAGUAUAUGCUGAAGCCCUGUAGGGCUUGUCCUGCAACUUAUUUAAAAUGGCCCUGGAAGUCACAUUUUUUCUUUGACUACUAAAGGAAGCAUAUGUAACUCCACAGUGGAACACAGUAACAUAUUUGCUUUUCUGUAAAAUUAAUUUGAAAGUCUGUGGAUCUAGCAUUUUUCUUUCUGGUGAUGCUUGGUCCCAAGAAAACCAUAUUCUCUCCUACUAUGAUCAGUGUUCUCUGACUGGACACCAUUCAGAACACUAGUUCUAAUUUAUGUGCUAGUGACCCAGCAAGCCACAGACUUGCAUAUUCACUUGAGCACAUUUAUUUAUCUUGUAUGCAAGGUUAAUGGAGAGCAAGGAAGUUAGUCCUUGCUAUUUCAAGAACAUGUACAUGAACAACUUGGAAGUAGCUUAUUUCAAAUCGCACACAUUGGUCUCAAUCAAAAUAACUGUUUACAGUUUAUCAGAUGUGGCAUGAGAUCCAUUGCCAGUUGGUUGAGCAAAGUCCAGGCAUAAACAAUGGUAAAAAUUGUGUCUUUUUUGAUAAGAUUAAAAACUAUGAUAAAUGGUUGAAUAAAAAAUCAAUGUGGGAUAACUUUUAUUAUGAUGGCUUGCAUUCUUAUCCAUAUGUUAAAUCAGUGUUGUCAUAUUAAGAAGAGAAAAAAUGAUUUUAAAAUAAUUCUCAGCAUGUGUAGUUGAUUAGAAGUAGAUUUCCAUGACCGGGCGCUGUGGCUCACGCCUGUAAUCCCAGCACUUUGGGAGGCUGAGGC